UCUGUGUGUUUGCAUAUGUGUGUCCUGCCUCUCUGCUCCCAGCCGUUAAGAGGCCAGUGUUGAUCAGUGGCUGUCCAGGCCUUUCAGAGACACAAUGAUGAUGCCACUGAUUCUACUGCUGGCCACCCUGGGGCUCCUUGUUCAGGGUUCAUCAGGAGAAACCAUCCUGACUCAGUCUCCUGGAUCUCAGUCUGUUGAUCCAGGACAGACUGUCUCCAUCAGAUGUAAAACCAGUUCAGAUGUUAGUAGCUGGCUUCACUGGUACCUUCAGAAACCUGGAGAAGCUCCUAAACUCCUGAUUUAUUACGCUACAAACCGUCAGUCUGGAGUUUCAGAUCGUUUUAGUGGAAGUGGAUCUGGAUCCGACUACACUGACUACACUCUGACCAUCAGAGGAGUUCAGACUGAAGAUGCAGGAGUUUACUACUGUCAGAAGGGUGGCACCAGACCGUUCACACAGUGAUACAACGUCGUACAAAAACCUCCCUCAGCUGAAGAGGAACUGAUCUGACUCAACAGCUGCACUCAAACUGAAACAACACAGGUUUUACUAAGAAAUUAAAUAUUUAAUGAUUAUACAUUAACAUUUUAACACUAAAAAUAUAAUGUUUAUAACUAUUGUUAUACUUUUAAUUUCAAACAUUCUGCUUCACAUCAAAGCUAACCUCUGUUUAAAUAUGAUUUCAAGUCUUUAGUUGUUAAUAAUUAAGUUAUUAUAAUUCUUUACCUUUAAUCAAUACAUUAUGA